AUGGUGCAAACAAAUAAGCAUGUUACGUUUCCUUUGGUCUAUCAUCUUUUAAAGCUAGUAUUGAUAUUGCCAUUUGCCACAGCAUCAGUGGAGAGAUGCUUUUCAGCUAUGAAUGUUGUCAAGAAAAAAUUGCGCUACAAAAUGGGUGAUCAGUUCAUGAGCGAUUGCCUAAUUUGCUAUGUGGAGAAAGAUAUAUUUUCCACCGUUACCAAUGAUGCAGUACUUAAUAUUUUUAAGGCGAUGAAAGAUCGAAAGGGGACACUCUAA
rnacentral:rRNA from 1 species